rnacentral:lncRNA from 1 species
CUUUAAUUGCAAUGCAGAAUCCCCAGAGUGAAUCAUGUUUAUUCCACAACCACAGAUAUCAAAGUAUCCUCCCAUCAAAGUUUUAUGCUGGGAAGAAGUGUUUGCUUCCCAGAAUCCCAGACCCACAUCUCAGCUUGUUUCAAAGAUGCCUUCCCUAUUAGUUAGAAGCCUCCACCCAGUCCUUUGCUAUUCACACCUACAUCCCAACUCCGAAGAAGAAAAGCUGAAUUCCCGGUACUCCAAAGCAAGCCCAAGCAAGACACCUCUCUACUCAACACUACAUUCUCUAACAAGCAGGAUGGUUUCAAAGAACAGAUGAAGCAAAUCCCCAAUCAGUGACUGGCUUCCUGCACCAUUUGGAGUUCACCCUGCUUAUAGGGCAUGAGCCUGCUUUCCGCAAGAAGGACCAUCAGAGAGAGGCAGCUGGUGCUUCUCCAGCCAUAAAUCACAAAACUCUAACGACAACUGGACAUGAAAUAUAUGCAAGCGUUGCAUACAAUGAAUGUGCCUGAAGAUACGAGAGGCCCAGCUGAAUAACAAUAGGAACACUUUUUUUUUUUUUUAAUUUUUUUUGCCUUUUUAGGGCUGUACCCGAGGCAUAUGGAAGUUCUCAGGCUAGGGGUCGAAAUGGAGCUGUAGCCACUGGCCUACACCACAGCCACAGCAAUGCCAGAUCUGAGCCGCAUCUGUGACCUAUACCACAGCACAUGGCAAUGCUGGAUCCUUAACUCAUUGAGUGAGGCCAGGGAUUGAACCUGCAUCCUUAAGGAUACGAGUCAGAUUCGUUUCUGUUGAGCCAUGACAGCAACUCCAACAACAGGAACACUUUAGGUUGAAACACUUUAGUCCUCUUUAGAGGAUUGUGACAAAACCUCCUGAAGAUUGAUGAUGCAAUGAACUUAUCCUGUCCUCUCUGAUCACUUAGCCACUGUACAUUUUUUAUUAGCUUUCCUCUUACACCAUUGCUGGGUGAAGCAGAGGGAGAUGGCCAUGAAAAUGAUCUGAAAAUCAGCAGCCACUGCAGUUAGGACUGCAUUAUUCCUAGGUGGACCACAUUUCUGGAUCCCACUCUGGGCUUCUCAGAGCCCAGCCAUGUGGGCCCAUCAGGAAUCAUCUCUGCAAUGACUAUCACCCACCAACCAUCUGCUUCUGUCACUACAGUAAUCUUAGGCUCCCCAGGAUCAGCCCAGAUCUCAACCGCUCCUAUAGAUAAACUCAGAAUUUUAGAUCUGAGAGCCAAAGGGGAUGGGGGAGGGAGGGAGAGGAAAUGAAUCAAAUUCCAACAACUGAGUCAAAAAAAAAAAAAAAUUGGCUGGUACACCCUUGAGGCAGAGGCAAAGGAGUACUCAGUACAUUGAUAACCUAUGACUCAGCCUUUUAUCGCCCAGAGCUCAGGGUCCUCAAAUCCCUAUAGGAUGGAUGUUGCUUCUGUUCCAAAGGUAUGUCCUCUCAGGGAGGUGGCUGCUGGGUGGGAUGGGUGGCUAAGUCCCGUCCCUCGGCACUACUGCAUGCUAUGGCUGCCUUUUCAUGACUAUUAUUUUCCACCCUAGAGGUUCUAAAUUCAUCUAUUUUUUUUUCCAAGAGAAGCAAAGGGAAGCCCUUGCGACUCAUGUUGGUAUCAACAGGAAACCUGGGGGAGGGAAAAAAAGGGAAAAUCAAAGACAAAAGCAAAAUACACAGGACUAAGAAUAGGAACUUCAAGGACACGCUUCUGGAAAGGAAAAUGAGACUUGAUGAGUUGGAUUGGAGAGGAGGCAGGGUGUGGGGCAGGGCGUGGAGUAGAAUGAGUUAACAAAGGGAGGAGGGAUCUUCUUUACAUAAGAAUCAGAGGUGAUCUCAUGUAUCAUUUUAUGUGGCUUUUUAAAAAGCAUUGGCAAAACCCUACAUAUUUCAUAAUUACUUUAUUCUCACGAAAGGUUAUUAAGUGAAAUGACUGUGCCGAAGGGUCAUGCUUAGUUGGGGCUCGCUAUGACGCUCAUUCUCAGCUUUUUUGUCUUCAGGUUUUAGUCCUGCUUGGGUACCGAGGUGGUGGCCUUGAAGCCAGCAGCAUUAGUCUGAGGAUAGUACAUAAUCCCACAAGGUACUCCAUCCACUGCUGAUAUGUAUAAAAGUGAAAACUACUCUUAUAGAGCAAAAGUCUGAGUCAUGUCAGUGUCAAAGGCACUCUUUGAAAAUACCACAUGGGGCUCCUGUUGACUAUUUGCUCAGUCUUCUACAAACAGAAAGUGUUCACUAACAGAAAGGUACCAUUCAAGAUAUUCUCCCUUUCAUGAGCUGCCCCAGGGUCAUGCUCAACAAGAGCCUGGAAAAAACAUGGGCCAGCAGCAGAUGUGAUGCCCAGAACUCUACUGGAGAAGAUGCAGGGACCACAUCCCUCAUGCCAAUUGUUCAUGGGAUGUUACUUUAGGAAUAUCCCUAAGACCAUUAUAUGGAAUGAAUGGAUGAAGGAAAUGGUGAAUUCUUAAAAAUUGUUUUUUUCUACAAUUGUUCCAUUUUAACACAUUUACAAGUUAUAAUUUAUGAACUAACAUUUACAAAUUAUAAUUUAUAACACAUUUAUAAAUUUUAAUCAAUAUCCAUGGUUGCAUUUAAAAAAAUCAAAAUGAUGGGUAUAUACACACUUAAACGAGAACUAUCCUUAUUUAGUGCCAAUAAGACUAUACAUGUUGCAUUUUUUAAAAUCUAUUAUUUUAUAAUAAUAAUGUACAUAUUAUAGUCAGAAAACCUCUACCCAAAGAAGGGAAAUACUUAAAUUCUUAGUUUAGAACUAGAAAGGAGAUCAUCACUCAGUAAUUGAAUUAAUGGAAAAUCUUUGGGUACCUGGACCACCGCUACAAUCAUGGCAGCUCCAUAUAAGACAACAUUUUAGAGAGUGAGGCCCAAUUUACAUGGUUGGGAAAAAAAAAAUCAAGGAAAAAAACAACAGAACCCAACUCAAUACCUCCAUCAAGAAAUCCAUGAUUUUAAAAGGUACAUCAAAAGCAAAGCUACUUAGUGGUAGAAUAAGAUUUAAAUAUGGAUUUAUUUCUAAAGGUUUGAAGCAUUGCAUUUACUAUAUUUAGCACCCUCAAUGAUUACUCAGUUUGUAAAGUGCUUUGAGGUUAUGAGAUCACUAGUGAAGCUAUCAGUUCCAUUUAAAAUAAAUUCAACUAAAUAUGUCUUUCUUCACAGUGCUUCCAGCCUAUGGAAAUCAUUAUCAGAGGAUGCGGUUGAGAGGAGGGGAAAAAACCCAAACAACAAAAUACCACUACAGUCAGAUUUUUUCACAGGUAGUAAACAUGAUUCUAAUGUUUGUAACCUUACAAGGUCAGAAAGAUGGUGGUGAGAACUACAAGAAUCAGCUCAUUUGCUAGAGGACCACAUGAAGAGUUGACCUGUUUUAUUCUGCCAUUUGCAACAACAUGGGUGGACUUGGAAGGUACUAUGCUCUGCAACAUAAGUCAAGACAAACAAAUACUGUAUUAUAUCACCUAUAUAUGGAAUCUAAAAAAACCCAACAAGCUAGUGAAUAUCACAAAAAAGAGACAGACUCACAGACAGAACAAACUAGUGGUUACCAGUGGGGAGAGGGAAGGCAGGGGCAAUAGAUGGGUAGAGGUUUAAGAGGUACAAACUACUAUGUAUAAAAUAAGCUAUAAGGAUAUAAUCUAUGACACAGGGAAUAGAGCCAUAUUUUGUAAUAACUAUAAUACUUUUGAUUUCCCAGAAAUAUCAUUAUCAAAAAGCUACAAAAUCAUAUUAUCUAAUUUUGGGGAAAAGGCAAGUCAUAGUAAGACUUCUUGUCCUAUUGUCUUGGUGGUUUAUGAGGUAAUUUUGAAAGUGUUUAGUGGGUUGAGAUCAACCAAUCAAGAUACACAAGAGCAUUUCACUGACAAUAGACGUGGGGGCUGUAUUUUCCAUGGGUAUCAUUCAAGUGGCACAGUGCUUAGAUCAUAUAGUGACAUGGCACAUUCCUAAGCAAAGUCAUCUUCCUAACAAGCUAUAGUAGGUAAAUGACUCCUCCAUUGCAAUGACUACCUGAAAAAAAGAAAAAAAUUAGCCUGGCCAAAACGUUUAGGAAGGAAAUCACUCUCAAUGCACUGUAGCAAUAUAUUGCUGAUCCAACCUGCCUUUAAGUCAAUGCCAUUGAUAGCUAUUAUCAGAAUAACCAACCAGAUUACCCAAGUCAUUUAAAAACAAGACUCUACAUGUGGGCAAGAGAUGUGUAAUGAUGACAUGUUUUUUGAAGUCUGGGUGGGCAGUCUGCUUCUGCAUCAAUGUAUUCAGGGCCUAACCAACCUCCAAACAAGAAACUGAGAAGUUAAGUCUUGGAACAUUUUCUGUAGACAGUGAAAAAGACCUAAAUUAUAUAAUAUGGUGCCAGAGUUCUUUUUGCACGUGGAAAAGGCAAAGACCUGUGGUGUGUCUACAAUGUGAUGUUCCUUGGCUGAGUUCAUUCACACAUUUUGUUUUUUUAGGGCCAUGCCUACAGCAUAUGGAAAUUCCCAGGCUAGGAGUCAAAUCAGAGCUGCAGCUGCAGGCCACAGCAACACCAGAUCUGAACAGCAUCUGUGACCUACACCAUAGCUCACAGCAAUGACAGAUCCUUAACCCACUCACAAGGCCAGGGAUCAAACCUGAAUCCUCAUGGACACUAGACAGGUUCGUUACCGCUGAGCCACAGUAGAAACUUCCACACAUGUAUUUUUAAUUUAGGCAUUAUAACAGUACCAGGUGGAUGACAGUAUUCUUAUAUUAUAAAUGAGGAAAACAAGAUCUAGCAAUUUAAAAUAACUUGCUCACAAUCAUAACAGCUCUUAGAUAGUAGAGCUGAGGUUAGGUUAGGUCUGCCUGGAUCAAAAAUCUUAGAUCCUUUCUCAUUUACCAUUCUCCCUACUGGGGCUAUGGAAGGUAUUCUAUUCUGGAAUCAACAUGUACUUUAAUGGGCAAUUUGUCAGAGGAUAUUACUUAAUAUUGUAUUCAUAUUUAUAUUAAUAAAUGCAUAUUACAUAUAAAGCCCCUAGAAGUCCAAGAGUACAGUAAAGAAAAUAGGGAUAAUAUCAAAAUUAGU